rfam:Brachypodium distachyon strain Bd21 chromosome 4, whole genome shotgun sequence.
GAGAUACAUUCUCGGUCCAACAAAGAAUGUCUCAACUUUAACUAAAUUUGAAUGCAUCUAUACUAUACACUAAGUAAUGUUUAGAUACAUCCAAAUUUUAACAAAUUUGAAACAUCUUUUGUUGGACGGAGAGAGUAUAUA